UACGUUUGGUCAGGGUCAGAGGUCAUAGUGAGCCAUGUCACAGUUGGUCUCGGUUGGGUUUAUCCGGUCGGUCCCUGGAGGAUUUUAAGGACCGUGCGUGGACCACAACGACUGGUUAUGGAGUGGCUGCAUUAAAGAACCACUGGGGCGGUUGCGUUACGGUCCAGGCCGCUGACCGUGCGAGGUGGACAGUAUGGCGGAGGUUAGGGUUAGUGGACCGGUUCUGCCAUUCUAGGCAGGGCCGGGUUCGCUGUAGCAGAAGAACUGAGCCACAACAACAAUACUUUACCGGCAAUGUUUACAAUGUUGUUUACAAUGUUUACAGUCUUUACAAUGUUCACAAAGACCAGGAAUGUUUACGCUACACAAUAUCACAGUACUGUAUGUAUAACUGCGUACUCUCUGGUACUAACAGGUAUAACUGUGUACUCUCUGGUACUAACAGGUAUAACUGCGUACUCUCUGGUACUAACAGGUAUAACUGUGUACUCUCUGGUACUAACAGGUAUAACUGUGUACUAUGUAGUACUAGAUUCAUAUCUGCUGUGCAGACGUUCUCCUCUAGGAGUGUUUUAAUGGAUAAUAAAUGUGACGUGUGUAUAUAUUUCA